AAUUCGCCCUUAGAGUUUGAUCCUGGCUCAGGACUAACGCUGGCGGCGUGCCUAAUACAUGCAAGUCGAACGGUCGUGCGUUUGUAGCAAUAUGGACGUACGAUAGUGGCGAACGGGUGAGUAACACGUGGAAAACCUACCCUCGAGCGGGGAAUAACUCCGGGAAACUGGGGCUAAUACCGCAUGACAUCCCAACCUGGCAUCGGGAGGGGAUCAAAGCCGAAAGGCACUUGAGGAUGGUUCCGCGGCCUAUCAGCUAGUUGGCGGGGUAACGGCCCACCAAGGCGACGACGGGUAGCCGGCCUGAGAGGGCGAUCGGCCACAAGGGGACUGAGACACGGCCCCUACUCCUACGGGAGGCAGCAGUAGGGAAUUUUGCUCAAUGGGGGAAACCCUGAAGCAGCGACGCCGCGUGGGCGACGAAAUCCUUCGGGAUGUAAAGCCCUUUUAACCGGGACGAAAUACAUGACGGUACCGGUGGAAUAAGCCUCGGCUAACUCCGUGCCAGCAGCCGCGGUAAGACGGGGGAGGCAAGCGUUGUCCGGAAUCACUGGGUGUAAAGGGCGUGUAGGCGGGCCGGCUAGUCGGUUGUUAAAUCUCUCCGCUCAACGGAGAAGCUGCGGCCGAUACUUCCGGUCUUGAGUGCGGCAGGGGAGGAUGGAAUUCCUGGUGUAGCGGUGAAAUGCGUAGAUAUCAGGAGGAACACCGGUGGCGAAGGCGGUCCUCUGGGCCUGCACUGACGCUGAGUGCGCGAAAGCUGGGGUAGCAAACAGAAUUAGAUACUCUGGUAGUCCCAGCCCUAGACGA
rnacentral:rRNA from 1 species